UUUGUGAAAUUUGCUUUCUUUCCAAGGCUUAGAUGAGAAGAUUGACAUUUUAUGAUUACAUGAAUUGCAUUGGCUUAGCUUAGCUUAGCAUAAAACCAGUACAUAAACAGAAAUGGAAAAGUUACAGUUUGUGGUUUUAUGAGGCACUAUUUCUCAUGUACACCUGGGAAUGAAUUUACUUCUUAGAGUCUUGUCAUCACCAUGUUGAUCAUCAAGAGCCUGUUACAUUAUGGAACUACCUCUAAAACCAUAUACAUUGUCAUUUCUACAUCUCUGUUUGUGUAUGGAUUAAAUAAAUGAGAUACCAUGUAUUAAUUAGUCUGGUUUGAGGUCCUACUUGGAGUAAUUCAGUUAGUCAGGUUAGCUGUGUUGAUGCUAAGCUAAGCUAAUCACCCUCCAGCUUUAGAACUAUACUUAAUGUACAGACAUGAAAGUGGGGUCAACUAACUCUCAGUAAUAAAGUAAGAAAUGUUAAAAUGUUAUAGUAUGCUUUUAUAGUUAAUACUGUUAUCAUGAUUUAGGGCAAAUUGUUUGUAUGAAAUAUAAAUGUUAUUUUAGUCUCUAAUUUGUCUUUUCAACCCUACAGCCUUGAAACGGACCAGCAUAAGCAAUACUGUGUGGAUCCAACUGCUGAGUGGCUUCCAAGGAGACUUAAGAGGUUAGAACAGAGAGGAAUAAAAUGUACAGAGCUUUAACAAAGCCUUCAAUAACCAAGAUGAGGAUGAUGCAACAUGACCUUCUGAGCAGAAUGGUGGCGCUAAUUUCUGUUAAACUUUUCUAACUUUGAUCAAAUGUUUUACUUUCUCUAUUUUUCAAUACAUAUUUACCAGUGGCUUGGCAAAAAUCUUACUAUCUUAUAAGCAAAUUAAAAAAGAUGUGAAAAA